ACGGGUGAGUAAUACAUCGGAACGUGUCCUGUAGUGGGGGAUAGCCCGGCGAAAGCCGGAUUAAUACCGCAUACGCUCUACGGAGGAAAGGGGGGGAUCUUAGGACCUCUCGCUACAGGGGCGGCCGAUGGCAGAUUAGCUAGUUGGUGGGGUAAAGACCUACCAAGGCGACGAUCUGUAGCUGGUCUGAGAGGACGACCAGCCACACUGGGACUGAGACACGGCCCAGACUCCUACGGGAGGCAGCAGUGGGGAAUUUUGGACAAUGGGCGCAAGCCUGAUCCAGCAAUGCCGCGUGUGUGAAGAAGGCCUUCGGGUUGUAAAGCACUUUUGUCCGGAAAGAAAACUUCUGGGUUAAUACCCUGGGAGGAUGACGGUACCGGAAGAAUAAGCACCGGCUAACUACGUGCCAGCAGCCGCGGUAAUACGUAGGGUGCAAGCGUUAAUCGGAAUUACUGGGCGUAAAGCGUGCGCAGGCGGUUCGCUAAGACAGAUGUGAAAUCCCCGGGCUUAACCUGGGAACUGCAUUUGUGACUGGCGGGCUAGAGUAUGGCAGAGGGGGGUAGAAUUCCACGUGUAGCAG
rnacentral:rRNA from 1 species